GGAGAACACGCCUACCUCUGUUACACAGGACCCCUUACAACUCAUGGACGCUGGAGCUCCAGUAUUUGGCUUGGAACGGCAAGGAAGUCAGAGGUGAUCUCAAUGCAGUCUCUUCACAUACCAGCAGAGGCUUCACAUUGAAUAAGUGAGAAAUGGAGAACAUGAGACAUUGGCUCCCUCCUCCUUUAUCCACAUCUUCACCUUCCCAGAAACAAUUUGUUGCUAUGACUGCAUAGCACAAUGCUGAGGUGUCCUCCUGCAAUAGAAUCCGGUAUCAACACCUUCCCUGAACUACUUUCUGAUGACUGUAGCUAUCCCCUAGGGCUAGACGAGGCCAGGCCAAGAAUAAGGUGUUCCAGACUCUUUGGUGUCCCUGUCCCCCAGUCAAUAUCUAUCCCUCUACUCACAGCAGCAGCACCAUCCUGCUCUUUGACCUGGAUGUUAUGAAUCCAGGAUUUCCUCCACUUCUCCACCUGCCAUGCCUUAUAACCCCAGA
rnacentral:lncRNA from 1 species